rnacentral:lncRNA from 1 species
GCGAGUGAUAAGUGUCAGAAGGAGAAAAGAAAGACAAUCAAUGGAGAUGAUUUGUUGUGGGCGAUGGCAACUCUAGGCUUUGAGGACUAUAUUGAACCACUUAAGGUGUACCUUGCUAGGUACAGGGAGGUAACUAAUCUUUCACUUUUGGAAACAUGUGCUUUUUUUUCUGUAUAUGCUUGAUUUCUUUUGGUAUUUGUUGGCUGGAUGGUGUUCUAACUAUUUUCCAUUUUGUCAUUUUGGUUAUCCUGGAUGACUGUGAUGUUGUAGAUGGAGGUAACUGAACCUCUCCCCCUCAACUAUACAGUUUAUUAGUUUCUUCUUAGAGUAUGUUAUGCAAUAUCUGGACUUAAAUUGCAAGCUAAAAUUUGGCAGGGUGACACUAAGGGAUCUGCUAGGGGUGGAGAUGGAUCUGCUAAGAGGGAUCCAAUUGGAGGUCUGCCUGGUCAAAAUCCACAGG